AUGCAGUAAAGGGGGCUGUGUGAUUUAUUUUUUCAGUUUCUCAGUAACCAGCAUGGGGGAUCAGAAGCACAGUUGGUGACUGGUCGGUGAGUUUAACUUCCAUGUUAAGCACCAGUUUUGGGAGCAUCUGCUGUCCCUUUUUCAGCCUACCCUGACCUUGGCUUUUUAAGCGAGGACUGCCCCAGGCACACGGGGUCACACUAAGCACUGAGGUUGAAUUAAUAGAGUGUUUUUAUGACACAGUCAUAUGAAAUAAACUGAACUCCUUUGUUUUCUUUCAUCUGAGCAGGGUUUGCAGUUUCCAAACCUCAUAUAAUCUCCCAGCUGGAACAAGGAGAAGAGCCAUGGGUCCCAGACCUCCAUGGUUCAGAGGAAAGAUGGAUCCUGAGAGCUCCCCACUCAGCAGGUGAUGCAAUGGUAGGUGAGAAAGAGGAGCAGAAUUUUCAGCAGGAAAAUGUCGAGCAAGUGGAUAAACACAGAGCAUUUUUGCAAAGGUCGAAAAGGAAUGUGUCCAGGAGUCAUGAGCAGGGAAACUCCUGUGAGAUUCAGCACAGACCAGAAAGAGAACAGGGAAACCAGCCAGGAGAGAGAGUAGGUAAAUUUAUUUUCUGUCGGGGAUCUCAGAAGAGCAUCAAGGAAACCACAACACAGCAGGAAAUCCCCAUAGGAAAGAAGAAAAAUACAUGUACUGAGUGUAGGAAAACCUUCAAUCACAGUUCGCACCUUAUUAGGCAUCAAACAAUCCACACAGGGGAGAGGCCCUAUGAAUGCAGUGAGUGUGGAAAGUGCUUCACUAGCAGCUCAAACCUUUCUCAACAUCA